rnacentral:rRNA from 1 species
UACGAUGGAGGUCGCGAGUCGUUGAUCGAUCUGGGCGUAAAGAGCUCGUAGGUGGUUUGUCGCGUUGUCCGUGAAAACUCACAACUCAAUUGUGGGCGUGCGGGCGAUACGGCAGACUGGAGUACUGCAGGGGAGACUGGAAUUCCUGGUGUAGCGGUGGAAUGCGCAGAUAUCAGGAGGAACACCGGUGGCGAAGGCGGGUCUCUGGGCAGUAACUGACGCUGAGGAGCGAAAGCGUGGGGAGCGAACAGG